AGGAAUUGAAAUUACAUUUCUAAUGAUUUUUGGCAUAAAAUAACAGUCUUCUAGCUUCAAGAACUUUUCGAAGGGUAGCUCCAGUAUGUAGGUGCCAACAGCUUCAGCCUGGAUGGAUUCUCCUCCAGCGCCAUAUAGCUCGAAGUCACCUUUCUUCAGACUUCUAAUUUUCUGCAGUCCAUGCAAAGAUUUGCAUAUGUGAAAACCACAAUCAGUAUCCAAUACCCAUGAAUUAGAAUCAGAAGAACUUAAUGUACAUAUUGG
rnacentral:lncRNA from 1 species